AGAAAAGAAAAGAAAAGAAAAAGAAAAGAAAAGAAAAGAAAAGAAAAGAAAAGAAAAGAAAAGAAAAGAAAAGAAAAGAAAAGAAAAGAAAAGAAAAGAAAAGAAAAGAAAAGAGAUCUUUUUUUCAUCAGUAACAGUAUUUCAUUUUGGUUCUUUGUAGAUCCGUAUAGAUCCAACAUCACCUAAAUGUCAAUGAGCAGUGUAGGGGACACUGUUGGAAAAAUGUAAAACUUUUCAUCCCCUGUUCUGCAAAACUAUACUGGCUCUAUUUCUGGCGGUACUUUGGCACACUGAUGGAAGACCACACUUAUGAGGAGAAAAUGUUGGCAGUGCACAACAGGUGAUGAAACCUUGGCUGGAAGCUUCUUCAUACUGACACUAACAGAGUGAGUUACCAUGGAGGGCACAGUAAAUUUAAUAACCUUUAUAACAUGCAGCAAGGAUGUGGUGCACAGCACUGUCACCUGUGAAGCUCUGAAGGUAACUGAGAAUAUAUAUAUUUUUUUACCUUUCCAAUAAAACAUUGAGGCCCUGAACUGUCAGGAGAAGGGCAAUGGAGCUGUGAAGGGUCUGGAGCACAAGUCUCAUGAGAAGCUGCUGAGGGAGCUGAGGUUGUUCAGUAUGAAGAAGAGGAGCUCAGGGGAGACCUCAUCACUCUCUACAGUGACCUGAAAGGAGGAUGCGGUGAGGUGGGGGUUGGCCUCUUUUCCCAGGUAACAGUGAUAGAGCCAGAGGUAAUGACAUCAAGUUGAGCCAGAGGAGGUUCAGGUUGCAUAUUAGGAAAGAAGUUCUUAUCAGAAAGAGUGGUGCUGCAGUGGCACAGGCUGCCCAGGGAGGUGGUGCAGUCACCAUCACUGGAGGUGUUGAAGAACAGCGUGGAUGUGGCACUGAGGGACGUGGUCAGUGGGCACGGUGAGGUUGACAGACUGAUGGUUGGGGUAGUUGAUCUUCGUGGUCUUUUCCAACCUCAAUGAUUCUAUGACUCUGUGACAGAAUCCUGAAGAAUUAUAGCUGCGUGCAGUCCUCCCACGGCACGGCCAUGAAAACACGAGGACAAACUUCUGGAAACGGUCAGGCGCUGUUACUCCGGGCAAGGCAAAAUAAGAGUCUCGUGAGUGCCGAUGGCUGCUCCUUCCUUGGCUCUGGAGACCAGAAGCGCGGUGAUCCCCGCUCCGCCCGCCCG
ensembl:lncRNA